rnacentral:lncRNA from 1 species
AUAUAUAUAUUCAUUCAUCCUUCCAUCCAUCCAUUGUGGGUAAAUGGGAGGCCAUUCACGGAGUCGGAGGCAAGGCAUCAAUAGAGAGUUCAUGUUUAUAUUUUUAUAUUCUUUUAUUCCACCCCUUGGAAGGAAAGAAGAUCUUCAUUUUCACUUCUCCUAAUGGGGGUAGUACAAGGUGGCCUCAUCCUUAUUCUUCUACUUAUUCAUUCUCACUGUUUUGUUUUUUUUUUUUUUUUUCAUUCUCUAUAAUAAAUUAUUCCAUACACAUAUAUAUAUAUAUAUAUAUAUAUAUGUAUAUAGGUUACCCUUCUGACGCAGAAGAAGACCAUGA